UGCAUUUGGCCCUGGGGACAAAAAGUUGACGAGGGUAUGGUUCCUGCCUUCCUAAUGCCAAAAAUCCUUGGAGAAGAUAUGCAAACAUGUGAACACUAUACAAUAUGAUAUGCAUGCCAGUCGAGGACUUGAAUUUGGGAGCAUACAGGCCCAGAGUAGCUGACAGCCAUCUUGUGACAUGCAGGACCUGAAAGCAGAGCCAAUCUAUAGGAACAGAAGAGAGAGAUGGGAGAAAAUUAGAUCCCGGUGCUGUUAUUCAAGCCCCUGGAUUAAGCCACACCUGAAACAGUCUGUUUCUUAGCCUGUCCACCAACAGCUCUGUCGGCUGCAAAGUGACCCUGGAGCUCUGCAGCCUCACCGGAGUCUUGGGAAGAGGCAAAGACGCAGACUGUGCAGCUUGCUGGAGCCAGAUGCUCUCUCCUCUCUAACCAUGUUGGCCUGUGUGACCCUGCACACGUGAUAGACAGAGCGUGAGCAGGAGAGAGGAGACAGAACUCAAAG